GCCAGUUUCAUCCCCAAACACAAAGGCUGCCUGUCUGUCCCUCUGCUCUGCGCGCCUCCCUCUCUUCCUGGGGGGCGGGGGGGGGGUGCUCGGUUCCUGGCCAGGGAGUUGGACGCGCAGCCUUCUUCCUUCCCUCCCUCCCUCCCUCCCCGAGACUCAGGGCUCCGGGUACUUACAGCCUCUCGGCGUUCCUGGGGAUGGCCCUGGGCACGGCUUUGAGCCCCAGCCCGUGGCAGUCCACGUUGGGGCCGGAGCAGGUACACUUCCCGGGGCAUCCUCCGGCGGGCAGGCAAAGGACGGCGGCCCAGAAGCCCAGCAGGAGCCACAGCUGCCCCGCGGACGGCAUGACGCCUCGCUCCCGCUUCCCGCUCCCCGCUGCUCUCCUCUCCUCCUGCCUCAAGCCCGCCUCGACGCCCAAGGCUCUCAGCAGCCCGGCGCCACGCAAGGCAUCCCUUUUCAACACCUUCCAAGCCCUCCCUCCCUCCCUCCAGCCCAAGGAAGCGAGCUCUCUCCGCCGACGCUGCUCCAGGUGAACGGGCUCCUCAGCAGCCCCGGCGACGCUCGCUCGCCCAGCCCGGCAUGGCCCUCGGAGGAGGAGGAGAAGCAGAAGGCGAGGAAGGUGAAGGCGGCAGGGCUCAAGGCGACGCGAAAGAGGCAGAAGGAGCGAGAGCCGGGCGCGCUCCCCGCCUCUCCAUGCACGCACUGGGCAGAGCCAGAGAGCGAGCGAGGCGGGCAGGCGGGCGGGCGCCCCCUCCCCUCCCCAAAAGAACACCUCCGCCGCCCAUUGGACGCCGCGCUCCUGACGUCACCAAACUUUGGAACUUCGGCAGGGAAAGCUUGCUUUCAUUUGGUGUUGAUGCAUAAAAAUCAUGCAUUCCUGAAUCUCUUGGAGGAGAAUCCUGGGUGAGUUGCUUCCCUCACCAGAAGAAAUGAAGUUCUGAUGGGACCACAAAAAAAAGAAGGAUUCCGGAGAUGGGGAGCACAACGGGGGAAAUGAGAAGAAAUAAAUAUAUGAAUUAUAGAGAUUGUAUUUUGUAAUGAACUGGG
rnacentral:lncRNA from 11 species